rnacentral:rRNA from 1 species
UGGGGAAUUUUCCGCAAUGGGCGAAAGCCUGACGGAGCCAGACCGCGUGAGGGAAGAAGGCCUUCGGGUUGUAAACCUCAAAAGCUGGGGAAGAAAACUGACGGUACCCAGUGUAAGCCUCGGCUAACUCCGUGCCAGCAGCCGCGGUAAGACGGAGGAGGCGAGCGUUAUCCGGAAUCAUUGGGCGUAAAGGGUCCGUAGGCGGCAGUGCAAGUCCGUGGUCAAAGGCCCCGGCUCAACCGGGGAAAGGCCAGGGAAACUGCACCGCUAGAGCCAGGCAGGGGUAGGGGGAAUUCCCAGUGGAGCGGUGAAAUGCGUAGAGAUUGGGAAGAACACCGGUGGCGAAGGCGCCCUACUGGGCCUGGGCUGACGCUGAGGGACGAAAGCUAGGGGAGCGAAUGGGAUUAGAUACCCCAGUAGUC